AUGCCUGGAAUGGGCCCCGCCGCCUCUGGAAUGGGCCCCGGGGACUCCGGCAGCCGCAGAGAAGCGACUUCCCGGGGACCCCACGGAGUCCCAGUCAGUGUUGUGCUUUGGCCCCGAGGCCCUUGCCCGACGCGCGGCUCCCCCGGGGGCAGUAAGCGCACGGACGGCCAGGAGGAGGCCCCCGUCGCCCCCAUGCCGGCUGCCGGAAGACCUCAGGCGGCGGCUGGCGGGCGUCUUCCAGCUGGCUGUGCCGCGAGGAGGCUCCCGGCGCCCCCCGGCGGAGGCGGAAGCGGAGGCGCAGGAGGAGCAGAGACCCGAGCGUCUAGAGCGCCCUGCCCGGGCUGCGAGCCGAGCUGCUGGAAAUGCAUUUCCAAAACCACCAGCUGGCCAGAACCUUCCUGGAUUUAAACACGAAAAUGUCGCAGUUGAAAAAGGGUAUGAACUGUAAAUUGUAUCCGAAUCUCAAAGCCCUGAGGAGAACGUUGUGACCCUGAAAGAAGAAUAUGCACACUUGAAGAUCUGAACCCGAAAAGUAACACGACUCCAAAACAAUUCUGACGCUUUGAGAGAAAGGAGAGAGAAAAUGGUGUGUUAUCAAGUUUAAGAGUUAUAUAUUCAUAGUUUUGACUGGGAAAUAGAAAUGCAAGAAAAAUAUAUUGAAGAAUGCCUAAGGCCAAUUUCUAGCAUUCUGUCUUGUGCCACCUCAACUUUCUGUCGUUACCUGAACUUUUAGAAUCCAUGCAAGUUUUUGUUUUACUUGAUUAUUCUUGGUUUGUCUGUCCAGUUAGCUCUCAGUAUCUUCCCCUGCCUCUUUUGUAUUUGAUAAUUAUGUCCACCUAGAUUCUAACCAUACCCUUAGGGUAGAGUCUGCCAAUACAGAUGCCCCACCUCCCUGGAUAGAGUCACCCAGAUCAAGGCAGAUUGAUCAGCUUGUCCUAGGAGCUUUUGAAGUAAAACAAAAGAAGUGGAUGAGUAUUGCUUGAUGGUAGAGGCCAUGGGGUGGGGGGCUUGGAGGCUGCUGGUGACCACCAUGUGAGAAAGUGCCAGCUCUAGUGAAGGAGGUUGAAACUGAACCAGAGUGCACAAAAGUGAGGGAAAGAGCCAAUUUUCCUUGUCCCUGGGGUUGAGCUGCAUAAAAUCCCAGCCCUGAAUCCCCCAUGAAAAUAGUGUGAUAUCCUCCCAAUAAAAUCUUCUUUGGCCUAAGUCA
rnacentral:lncRNA from 1 species